rnacentral:tRNA from 1 species
GGAGAGAUGGCCGAGUGGUUGAAGGCGCAGCAUUGGAAAUGCUGUUUGGGGGCAACUUCAACGAGGGUUCGAAUCCCUCUCUCUCCG